rnacentral:rRNA from 1 species
CCCUUAGAUGCUCUGGGCUGCACACGUGCUACACUGGCAGGUUCAGCGAGCUUCAUGCCCUGAUCUGAAAGGAAUGGGAAAUCUUUUCAAAACCUGCCGUGCUUGGGACAGAUGUUUGCAAUUAUUCAUCUUCAACGAGGAUUGCCUUGUAAGCGCACGUCAUCAGCGUGCAUUGAAUACGACCCUGUAUUCUGUACACACCGCCCGUCGCUCCUACCGAUUGAAGUUUUCGGUGAGUUGACAGGAGGAUUUUUUUGAAACUGGUUCGCCAGUGGAUUUUAGAUCCAAAUGCCAACGAAUCGAUGGCUUUAGAGGAAGGAGAAGUCGUAACA